rnacentral:rRNA from 1 species
AUUGAACGCUGGCGGCAGGCCUAACACAUGCAAGUCGAGCGGCAGCGGGAAAGUAGCCUGCUACUUUUGCCGGCGAGCGGCGGACGGGUGAGUAAUGCCUGGGAAAUUGCCCAGUCGAGGGGGAUAACAGUUGGAAACGACUGCUAAUACCGCAUACGCCCUACGGGGGAAAGCAGGGGACCUUCGGGCCUUGCGCGCUUGGAUAUGCCCAGGUGGGAUUAGCUAGUUGGUGAGGUAAUGGCUCACCAAGGCGACGAUCCCUAGCAGGUCUGAGAGGAUGAUCAGCCACACUGGAACUGAGACACGGUCCAGACUCCUACGGGAGGCGGCAGUGGGGAAUAUUGCACAAUGGGGGAAACCCUGAUGCAGCCAUGCCGCGUGUGUGAAGAAGGCCUUCGGGUCGUAAAGCACUUUCAGCGAGGAGGAAAGGUCAGUAGCUAAUACCUGCUGGCUGUGACGUUACUCGCAGAAGAAGCACCGGCUAACUUCGUGCCAGCCGCCGCAGUAAUAC